CCUACGGGCGGCAGCAGUGAGGAAUAUUGGUCAAUGGACGCAAGUCUGAACCAGCCAUGCCGCGUGCAGGAAGACGGCCCUAUGAGUUGUAAACUGCUUUUGUAUGAGGGUAAACGCAGAUACGCGUAUCUUUCUGUAAGUACCGUACGAAUAAGGAUCGGCUAACUCCGUGCCAGCAGCCGCGGUAAUACGGAGGAUUCAAGCGUUAUCCGGAUUUAUUGGGUUUAAAGGGUGCGUAGGCGGUCGGAUAAGUUAGAGGUGAAAUCCCGAGGCUCAACUUCGGAAUUGCCGCUGAUACUGUCAGGCUAGAGAAUAGUAGCGGUGGGCGGAAUGUAUGGUGUAGCGGUGAAAUGCUUAGAGAUCAUACAGAACACCGAUUGCGAAGGCAGCUUACCAAGCUGCUUCUGACAUUGAGGCACGAAAGCGUGGGGAGCAAACAGGAUUAGAUACCCUGGUAGUC
rnacentral:rRNA from 1 species